AGUUUGAUCCUGGCUCAGGAUGAACGCUAGCUACAGGCUUAACACAUGCAAGUCGCGGGGCAGCAUGGGGGUUGCUUGCAACCCCUGAUGGCGACCGGCGCACGGGUGAGUAACGCGUAUCCAACCUGCCCUUCACCACGGGAUAACCCGGCGAAAGUCGGACUAAUACCGUAUGUUGUCCAUUGACGGCAUCCGAUUUGGACGAAAGGCUUAGCGGUGAGGGAUGGGGAUGCGUCCGAUUAGCUUGACGGCGGGGUAACGGCCCACCGUGGCAACGAUCGGUAGGGGUUCUGAGAGGAAGGUCCCCCACACUGGAACUGAGACACGGUCCAGACUCCUACGGGAGGCAGCAGUGAGGAAUAUUGGUCAAUGGGCGGAAGCCUGAACCAGCCAAGUAGCGUGCAGGAUGACGGCCCUAUGGGUUGUAAACUGCUUUUAUGCGGGGAUAAAGGGGCUCACGUGUGGGCUUUUGCAGGUACCGCAUGAAUAAGGACCGGCUAAUUCCGUGCCAGCAGCCGCGGUAAUACGGAAGGUCCGGGCGUUAUCCGGAUUUAUUGGGUUUAAAGGGAGCGUAGGCCGCCUCUUAAGCGUGUUGUGAAAUGCGGGUGCUCAACAUCCGACUUGCAGCGCGAACUGGGGGGCUUGAGUGCGCCGAAAGUAGGCGGAAUUCGUGGUGUAGCGGUGAAAUGCUUAGAUAUCACGAAGAACUCCGAUUGCGAAGGCAGCUUACUGUAGCGCAACUGACGCUGAUGCUCGAAAGCGUGGGUAUCGAACAGGAUUAGAUACCCUGGUAGUCCACGCGGUAAACGAUGGAUGCUCGUUGUCGGCCUGUAUGGUCGGUGACCAAGCGAAAGCGUUAAGCAUCCCACCUGGGGAGUACGCCGGCAACGGUGAAACUCAAAGGAAUUGACGGGGGCCCGCACAAGCGGAGGAACAUGUGGUUUAA
rnacentral:rRNA from 1 species